GAUGAUCUAUCCACAGUGAGGCAGAGGAGUUUCUCCUUUUCUCCUCUUCUUAUGGUGAAAGACCUUAACAGCAUCUGGUAAACAGACAGUGCCCACCACGCAGCCCUUUGGUGCCCACUGUUGUCCCCAGGGAUCCUCUCCGCAGCCCACCCGCACCACUGGCUGGCCCGCAGGGGAGCGAAGCGGGAUGCCUUGUGAUGCCCUGCAUCCCCUUGUUUUCCUCUGUGUUUGUUCAGCUGCAAUCUGGGGUACAGAAAUCAAUGAAUAAAUUGCCAUCAUCCAGUGAAUAAAACAGUCAUCUGAUACUCGUGCAGAAGAGGUGGGCAGCACAGACAGAUCUUAAACCUGUGGCACUCCCGGCUCUCCACUGUGCCAGGAGAACACAUCCUGAAGUAUGUGUAAAUGUGUCCAUCUUGACCUACUGCUGGUGCUGUCCAAUGGACUGAGUCAUUAUCAGUUCAAGAUAUGCUGCUGUCAGAAGGAACUGCCAGCAGAACUGUCCUCUCUUAGGAGGAUGCUCAACAUCAUCUUAAAAAAAGUAAGCUUCCUUCAGGUAUCUCAGAUAAACAGCAAGAACUACAAUUCUGCUCAGUCAGGCACUUCUACAACCACUUCACAAACUUAAGGGUCUUUUAGUGUCAUAUUUUUAAAUGCUGAAUCCUAAAUACCUAGAGAACUCGAAAUGAAGAAUUCCUCAUCGUGAAAUUUCAACAUGUGGUACAAAUCAGUUUAGCAGCAGAGUUGGGUUUUCUGGAUUCAAAACACAGGUUCAUUCUCAGUGAUGAACUGAUACUUGUUGGCCCUGAAGGCAAGUGGAGACACACCAAUGGUUUGGUAGCAAUCUCCAGGACAGUAAAGGAAUGUCAGAGUUCUGGACACUACAGCAGUAGAAUUAUUAAUGAACUAAUUAGCAUACUUAUUACAGUUAUGUUAAUAAUCUUACCAUCACAAUGAUUAUGAUAGUUAUUAAUAUAGUAAAGAGCAUAAUUAACAAUGAUAACUGUUAACAUUUAUUAGUGCAGCUAUAAGCUCUUUGCAUAUUCUGUGAGGAGGUAGCACCUUCUCACUUUGUCCUCUUAGGUACUCUCAGUUCUCUUCUGCUUUUUCCCUCCUUGUAGCUACUGUCUUUCCCUUCUCCUGUUUAAUCCUUCCCAUCUAUUGUCCCAAAGGUCACCCUUAUCCCUGACUUUUCCCCUAUCCCAGGGAAUAGUCAUUCUUCUGUUCCACAGGAUUUGUCCCAGGUAUUCACAGUGCAUGUCAUGAACUGUACAACCAGCACUGUAUUCACUGCACAUGUGGGAUACUCACCUUCACUCUGGGAACUGGGGUAGGAAGCCCUAGUUUCUGUUGAU